rnacentral:rRNA from 1 species
CUGCUUUGCUGACGAGUGGCGGACGGGUGAGUAAUGUCUGGGAAACUGCCUGAUGGAGGGGGAUAACUACUGGAAACGGUAGCUAAUACCGCAUAACGUCGCAAGACCAAAGARGGGGACCUUCGGGCCUCUUGCCAUCGGAUGUGCCCAGAUGGGAUUAGCUAGUAGGUGGGGUAACGGCUCACCUAGGCGACGAUCCCUAGCUGGUCUGAGAGGAUGACCAGCCACACUGGAACUGAGACACGGUCCAGACUCCUACGGGAGGCAGCAGUGGGGAAUAUUGCACAAUGGGCGCAAGCCUGAUGCAGCCAUGCCGCGUGUAUGAAGAAGGCCUUCGGGUUGUAAAGUACUUUCAGCGAGGAGGAAGGUGUUGAGGUUAAUAACCUCGGCAAUUGACGUUACUCGCAGAAGAAGCACCGGCUAACUCCGUGCCAGCAGCCGCGGUAAUACGGAGGGUGCAAGCGUUAAUCGGAAUUACUGGGCGUAAAGCGCACGCAGGCGGUUUGUUAAGUCAGAUGUGAAAUCCCCGGGCUCAACCUGGGAACUGCAUUUGAAACUGGCAAGCUUGAGUCUCGUAGA